rnacentral:rRNA from 1 species
UAAUACGUAGGGUGCAAGCGUUAAUCGGAAUUACUGGGCGUAAAGCGUGCGCAGGCGGUGAUGUAAGACAGAUGUGAAAUCCCCGGGCUCAACCUGGGAACUGCAUUUGUGACUGCAUCGCUGGAGUGCGGCAGAGGGGGAUGGAAUUCCGCGUGUAGCAGUGAAAUGCGUAGAUAUGCGGAGGAACACCGAUGGCGAAGGCAAUCCCCUGGGCCUGCACUGACGCUCAUGCACGAAAGCGUGGGGAGCAAACAGGAUUAGAUACCCUGGUAGUCCACGCCCUAAACGAUGUCAACUGGUUGUUGGGUCUUCACUGACUCAGUAACGAAGCUAACGCGUGAAGUUGACCGCCUGGGGAGUACGGCCGCAAGGUU